rnacentral:lncRNA from 1 species
GCUAAAGGUCGUAAGCAAGGACAAUGAACCUGGAAUUUGGAGGAAUUCAUACUCCAGUGAAGAAUUUCCAGACCCCUCAUGAGAAUAGCAGAUUGCCUACUCACCAGAGAAUACUCAAGCUGAAACUAAGCAGCCCCUGGAGAGUAAGCAAAUGAUUAGAAGGGUAGAUUUCAGGCAAGCAAAAGGGUGAGAGCCCAGAAUCUCCAUGUGAAUGACCCUAAAAUUACAGCUAAUAUAGGAAGUGGCUUCCUUGUACCUCUAGAAAUUGAACUCUCAGAACCUGACUGACAGUCUGCUCUUAAGAACAUUACCUCAAUCUGGAGAGAAAUGUGUGUUUCUUCUCCUAUAUGGAUUUCAGACAGAAGCAGAAGGAGGCUUAGAGGUUCUUCGUCACAAGUUGCCAAAAUGAAACAGAACUGUGAAAAGAAAAUGGAGAUGCUUCUUCAGGAGGUGCCCGUGAUGUGAUUUACUUGAUGAUUAUGGCCUGCAGGGUAUUGAGAUGGGAUUGUGGAACUUAAAUAAACUGGAUAUGAGUAGAGAUCUGAAAGGUUUUUCAAAAACAUUCAGCUUUACUUUUUUUUCCCCCUAAGGAACAAGUUGUUCACUCAUAGAGCUGAAAAGGAUAAAUGAAGUGUUCAGUUCACAGAAGCAAAAUAUGAGUAGUUCAUAUAUCUUUUGUAAAUGUUCUAUGUAUCACUGUAAACUAGACAUCUUCCACAUGCCCCUAUGUUUUUCCAUUUUGAAAUCAAUUUCUAGUUCAAACUUGUCAAUAGACAAUGAAUAUUUGCAAAGUUAUAGUUUCACUGAAUUAGGAUGUAACCUGUAGCUCACAAUGAAAAUGCCAUUAGCUUGAGUUUAAAAUUUAUGUUGCUAUUUUUUUCUUUUGUCAAUAUUUUCCUUCUGUGGUACUUAUUGCACAAGGGUCGGAUAUCACAACUGAGGGAAACUGCAGAACAAUGGUUCUUCCAAUCAUUCAGACCCAUUUAAGCCAUAGUCUUUGUUGGCUUUGCCAAAUGACUGAAUGCUUGGGUCUAUUAGGACUGUCAAAUAGUGUUGAGUACAUACUUGUGGCAUAAGCAAGUUAAUAUUUAUAGGGAGCACUUUUGCAUGUCUUUUAAGUCACAUACUAAUUU